rnacentral:rRNA from 1 species
GAUAUAAUUUGAUACCUGUUAUUUAAUUAUUACUUUAUUAUUUUGUUUAAAUUUAUCUAUUUUCAGAAUUAUCUGUGUGUUAGUGUAUUAAUUAUAAAUUAAAUAAUUUUGGUGAUAUUAAAUUAGUACCGUGAGGGAAUAAUUGAAAUAAAUAUUAAUUAUUUUAAAAGUAUAAUUGAUUAUUUGUACCUUGUGUAUCAGGGCUUAUUAAUUAUUUAUUAUAAAUUUUAUUUAUCUCGAUUUCUUAAGAGUUAAUUAAUUGAAUUAUAUUUAAUGUAUUAUAAUUAUUAUAAACAAUUAUUUGGUAUUGAAAUUUUAUACGUUUAAGAUUAUAUCUAGUUUUUGAGGAAAUAAAUUUAAUUUAUACUUAUUCUUUAAUAAUUUAUUUUAUUAAUUUAUUUUAGUUUAGGUAAAUAAUUUAGGGGAUAAGCUCUAAAUUAAAAUAUUAAAAGGUUAUUUAAAAUUAAAUUUUAGUGGAUUUAUAAAUGGUUCUCAUUUAGAAUAUGUUAAAAUUCUUAUUUUGUUUAUAAUGAUUUAAUUUCCUUUAAUUAUUUUACUUGAAUAUAUUAUUUAAUUAUUUAAAUAUUAUUAAUAAUGAUAAGAUUAGUAUAUAAUUUUUUAUUUAAAUUAUUUAAUUAUAAAAUUAAUUUAAGGAAUUAGGCAAAAAUCUUAUUAUCCGCCUGUUUAUCAAAAACAUCGCUUUUUGUAUAUAAUAUAAAGUAUAACCUGCCCACUGAUGAAUUUAAAUGGCCGCGGUAUAUUGACCGUGCAAAGGUAGCAUAAUCAUUAGUCUUUUAAUUGAAGGCUGGAAUGAAUGGUUGGACGAGAUAAUAACUGUCUUGAAUUAAUUUUAUUAUUGAAUUUAAUUUUUAAGUUAAAAAGCUUAAAUGGUUUUAUGGGACGAGAAGACCCUAUAGAAUUUAUAUAUUAUAUUAAAUUUUAAUUAGUUUGAUUAUUUUAAAAUUUAAUUAAGUAUUUGGUUGGGGUGAUGGAAAGAAAUAUUUAACUCUUUUUAUUUAUUAUAUAUUGAUUUAUAAAUUUUUGAUCCAUUAUUAAUGAUUAUAAGAUCAAAUUACCUUAGGGAUAACAGCGUAAUUUUUCUUGAGAGUUCAUAUCGACAGAAAGGAUUGCGACCUCGAUGUUGGAUUAAGAUUAUAUUUGGGUGAAGUGGCUAAAUAUUAUUGGUCUGUUCGACCAUUAAAUUCUUACAUGAUCUGAGUUCAAACCGGCGUGAGCCAGGUUGGUUUCUAUCUAUUAUAAAAUAAAAUAUUUUAGUACGAAAGGACCAAAUAUUUGGAAUAAUUUUUUAUAUUGAUUAAUAUUAACUAUUUUGGCAGAUUAGUGCAAUGGAUUUAGAAUCUAUAAAUG